rnacentral:misc_RNA from 1 species
UUUUUUCCCAGUCUGAUAAGGGUUCAACCCUGAAGGCCUCUUACGACCAGGAUCAGGGUUUAGAGUCUCAAUUCGAAAAUCGCCACCAGCACUGCUAUUUCUCAACCCAGUAAACGAUUUUCUUGCAGGGUGGAACUCAAUCCUUCUCCGCAACAAAGAACAAGUAACCACCGAGGAUCCAUUUGCAACAUCGGAAACCCCAUCUUCUCUUGGUUCCAUACUCAGUUCUGUGCUACUUAUAACUAUAUUUUCCAUUCGCAACGAUUCGGCCUCUAAAGGAAUUAAGCUGGAUUCUCAAUUAUUAACACUGUCCCUCCCUGUGUUUGUCUCUGUUGGGAGAGGGGCUCUUGGUCGGUUUCUGCAAGCAGAGACCUUUACG